AUGAACGCUAGCUACAGGCUUAACACAUGCAAGUCGAGGGGCAGCAUGAACUUAGCUUGCUAAGUUUGAUGGCGACCGGCGCACGGGUGAGUAACACGUAUCCAACCUGCCGAUGACUCGGGGAUAGCCUUUCGAAAGAAAGAUUAAUACCCGAUGGCAUAGUUCUUCCGCAUGGUAGAACUAUUAAAGAAUUUCGGUCAUCGAUGGGGAUGCGUUCCAUUAGGUUGUUGGCGGGGUAACGGCCCACCAAGCCUUCGAUGGAUAGGGGUUCUGAGAGGAAGGUCCCCCACAUUGGAACUGAGACACGGUCCAAACUCCUACGGGAGGCAGCAGUGAGGAAUAUUGGUCAAUGGACGAGAGUCUGAACCAGCCAAGUAGCGUGAAGGAUGACUGCCCUAUGGGUUGUAAACUUCUUUUAUACGGGAAUAAAGUGAGGCACGUGUGCCUUUUUGUAUGUACCGUAUGAAUAAGGAUCGGCUAACUCCGUGCCAGCAGCCGCGGUAAUACGGAGGAUCCGAGCGUUAUCCGGAUUUAUUGGGUUUAAAGGGAGCGUAGGCGGACGCUUAAGUCAGUUGUGAAAGUUUGCGGCUCAACCGUAAAAUUGCAGUUGAUACUGGGUGUCUUGAGUACAGUAGAGGCAGGCGGAAUUCGUGGUGUAGCGGUGAAAUGCUUAGAUAUCACGAAGAACUCCGAUUGCGAAGGCAGCUUGCUGGACUGUAACUGACGCUGAUGCUCGAAAGUGUGGGUAUCAAACAGGAUUAGAUACCCUGGUAGUCCACGCUGUAAACGAUGAUUACUAGGUGUGGGGGGACUGACCCCUUCCGUGCCGCAGUUAACACAAUAAGUAAUCCACCUGGGGAGUACGGCCGCAAGGUUGAAACUCAAAGGAAUUGACGGGGGCCCGCACAAGCGGAGGAACAUGUGGUUUAAUUCGAUGAUACGCGAGGAACCUUACCCGGGCUUGAAUUGCAACUGAAUGAUGUGGAGACAUGUCAGCCGCAAGGCAGUUGUGAAGGUGCUGCAUGGUUGUCGUCAGCUCGUGCCGUGAGGUGUCGGCUUAAGUGCCAUAACGAGCGCAACCCUUAUCGAUAGUUACCAUCAGGUUAUGCUGGGGACUCUGUCGAGACUGCCGUCGUAAGAUGUGAGGAAGGUGGGGAUGACGUCAAAUCAGCACGGCCCUUACGUCCGGGGCUACACACGUGUUACAAUGGGGGGUACAGAAGGCAGCUACACGGCGACGUGAUGCUAAUCCCUAAAGCCUCUCUCAGUUCGGAUUGGAGUCUGCAACCCGACUCCAUGAAGCUGGAUUCGCUAGUAAUCGCGCAUCAGCCACGGCGCGGUGAAUACGUUCCCGGGCCUUGUACACACCGCCCGUCAAGCCAUGAAAGCCGGGGGUACCUGAAGUGCGUAACCGCAAGGAGCGCCCUAGGGUAAAACUGGUGAUUGGGGCU
rnacentral:rRNA from 1 species